GACACUUUUACUUAUUAUCCUGUCACAGUCAUCUACAUUAUCGAAUCAGGAGUAGUAAUUUGCGUCGUCCAUAUCAAGGAGCAUUGGUGCGUAGUUGUCAUUUAUUAUAAUAAAUACCGAGUUUGAGGCGGAUCCAGCCGUAACUGUUAUAGACAAUUUAAAAAUUAUUGCAAUACCAAAGCCUUUGUCAUAACAUCUUCAUCUGGACAUCGUAUCAUAUCCAUUUCGGAUAGGAUCGUGUUUAUUUAGCCUAAAGUGGGAACUUGUACUACAGAUUUAAGCCUUGAUCAUGAAUAGGAUUGUACUGGGGUGUUUGUUGGUGGCGUGUCUGAUAGGGGCACUAUCAGCUCAGGCGCCAUCUGCUCCGAACAACAACGCCGCAUUGUUACGAGCAGCUGCAGCCAGCGGAAUGUAUAACAGCAGAGGAUCUGGCUUGCAGAGCAUAUUCCCCCUUUUAGCAAUGACUGGCGGUGGAAACGACGCCCUUAUGCCGAUGAUGAUGUGCCGCUCUGGUAUGAAUCUGAUGUGUAUGUUUGCCCUCAGUCAAAGCGGAUUUAUGUAAAUCCACGUAAACUACGUUCAACGACAAAACGGCUUCUCCACAUCGGAUGUAUAAGCAUUAAAAACACGGACUACAUUUUCGUUGUAAAGGGAUAUACCUAUAGAUUAUGUACCGAUAUGAUUUUUUUAUUUUCAUUUUGACACUAACAACCAAUAUUUGAGCUAGGAGAUUAGAACACAUUUGUGAUAUCCAUCUAUAUUCAUUCUUUAUCAUUUCCACUACACUUCUCAUGGAUAUGAAAAAUGACGAAAUGAUGUUAGAAGGACGAGUGACGCUGUAUAUAUACUUAUAUAUAUAUAUUUCUAUCUACCUGAUAUUAAUUUUUGUUGAAGUUGGUAUAUUAUUUAUGUAUUCUUUAUAUUGUAUGUUGUCCUACCUUAGCUAUCUGCUGAUAUUGACGUUUGUGUAUCGUCUGCUGUUUACGUUUAAACGUCAUGUGAGAUUCUAUUAAUUUUCUAGUAACAAUAAAAUGGAUACAGUUUUAGUGAAUUCAUAACGCUAAAUGUUCAUUUUUUUUUUAUUUUAGUAAAUUAAGUCUGAUGUAAUAAUAUAUAUUCAAUUUUUUACGACACAAUAAGCAAUGCUUAGAUGAUUCAGAAAUUUCUGAUGUAUAUCAGACAAAUGAGUUUCUUUUACAGAUUUUUACGCCAGGGUGCAAUGUUAUUUUUGACAGAAAUCCUCCGGACACAAAGAUUAUAAUAUCGAGAAAUAAUUCUAAAUAUUUUCUUUGCAUUUUUUUUGCACGUACUAUCUACUCCGUACAUUUUCCAUUGUACGAGUAAUGAUCAAAUCAACGUGAAAGAAAUAGAAAUGCCUCUCACUUUUUUUUUUCUCACAAGGUGACCGUGCAUAUAAGCGCUAAAGACCAAACUUUGUUUUCGUAAAGUGGCAUAUUUAUCGCAAUGCAGUUUCGACCUUUGCUUUAAUUUCUUAAGAGUUACGUGCUGUUAUGACCCGGUUGUAACUUGAUUUUCCUUCCAACCAUUUGCAAGUUUUCUGCAAACGAUUGUGAAAUAUGAUGGUUAGCAAUCGAAAUUAUUCCAAUAAAUAUGCCAACAUCUGUGAUUUUACAAAAAGAAAUGUACAGUUUGUUUCGUUGUUUUAUUUUUUCGGAAAAAAAUAUCUUACUUAUUUCUUUUUUAGUUUUCAACAGCGUUAUCUAUAUUACGGCUUCUAUUGCCAAUAGUUAAGACACAUGCAUUUUAGCUUAUAUCAGUUUGUAUGAAGUUAUUUAAAGGUUGAAGACAGACGGACGGACACUUCCUCUGACAGUAACACCUUGGAUUUUGUUGAUGUUGAGUUGACCAAAUUAAAGCAAGUCGAGAAAAAAACA